GGACUGGAUUCACAUGCAUAGUCACCCCAAAUGAGAAUCUAUUGAUCUAACACUAGAUUGAGUUUUAUAGAGAUACUUGUGUUGGGAUUUCUUUAUUUGUGUCUCAGUAAACUGAAGGAGAGUCAGCUGCCUAGGAUCCAACAAGGAGAUCCUGUAGCCCGGUACUUUGGAUUGAAAAGAGGCCAGGUAGUAAAGAUAAUCAGACCCAGUGAGACUGCUGGACGAUACAUCACCUACAGGCUGGUCCAGUGAGGAUUUCAAUGUAUGUCGCUGUACUAAGGAACAGCGGGUGAGCCAAUAAAACUCAUGGAUUAUUCUACAGCUGGCCUCAUCUCUUUGGAUUAAGUUUGGCUUUUGUUAAUUUGUUCAAUAAAUCCUUUGACAUAUCUUUCCAAAGAUAUGUAUGGUGAUGCCA